UACGUAGGGUGCGAGCGUUGUCCGGAAUUAUUGGGCGUAAAGAGCUCGUAGGCGGUUUGUCGCGUCUGCUGUGAAAACUCGGGGCUUAACUCCGGGCCUGCAGUGGGUACGGGCAGACUAGAGGUAGGCAGGGGAGAGCGGAACUCCUGGUGUAGCGGUGAAAUGCGCAGAUAUCAGGAGGAACACCGGUGGCGAAGGCGGAUCUCUGGGCCUUACCUGACGCUGAGGCGCGAAAGCUAGGGGAGCGAACAGG
rnacentral:rRNA from 1 species